rnacentral:rRNA from 1 species
UACGUAGGAGGCAAGCGUUAUCCGGAAUUAUUGGGCGUAAAGAGCUCGUAGGCGGUUUGUCGCGUCUGCUGUGAAAGACCGGGGCUCAACUCCGGUUCUGCAGUGGGUACGGGCAGACUAGAGUGCAGUAGGGGGAGACUGGAAUUCCUGGUGUAGCGGUGGAAUGCGCAGAUAUCAGGAGGAACACCGAUGGCGAAGGCAGAUCUCUGGGCCGUAACUGACGCUGGAGGAGCGAAAGCAUGGGGAGCGAACAGG